rnacentral:rRNA from 1 species
CGUAGGGUGCAAGCGUUAAUCGGAAUUACUGGGCGUAAAGCGUGCGCAGGCGGUUAUAUAAGACAGAUGUGAAAUCCCCGGGCUCAACCUGGGAACUGCAUUUGUGACUGUAUAGCUAGAGUACGGUAGAGGGGGAUGGAAUUCCGCGUGUAGCAGUGAAAUGCGUAGAUAUGCGGAGGAACACCGAUGGCGAAGGCAAUCCCCUGGACCUGUACUGACGCUCAUGCACGAAAGCGUGGGAGACAAACAGGAUU